CUACGUGCCAGCAGCCGCGGUAAUACGGAAGGUCCAGGCGUUAUCCGGAUUUAUUGGGUUUAAAGGGAGCGUAGGCCGUGGAUUAAGCGUGUUGUGAAAUGUAGACGCUCAACGUCUGAAUUGCAGCGCGAACUGGUUCACUUGAGUAUGCGCAACGUAGGCGGAAUUCGUCGUGUAGCGGUGAAAUGCUUAGAUAUGACGAGGAACUCCGAUUGCGAAGGCAGCUUACGGGAGCACAACUGACGCUGAAGCUCGAAGGUGCGGGUAUCAAACAGGAUUAGAUACCCUGGUAGUCCGCACAGUAAACGAUGGAUGCCCGCUGUUGGUACUUGGUAUCAGCGGCUAAGCGAAAGCAUUAAGCAUCCCACCUGGGGAGUACGCCGGCAACGGUGAAACUCAAAGGAAUUGACGGGGGCCCGCACAAGCGGAGGAACAUGUGGUUUAAUUCGAUGAUACGCGAGGAACCUUACCCGGGCUUGAA
rnacentral:rRNA from 1 species